GUCCCGAGGAUCGUCAGCCAAUAAAGGCUCGAGAACAAACAAAGGAGGCGGGGAAAAGGCGCGGGGCCGCUCCCGUCCUUCUCCUCCCCGCCCCCCGACGCUGUCUUUCUGCGAGCGCGUCCGGUGUUCCGGGUCUUGGCGACACCGGCGGUGCUCGCGGUGGGCUAUCGUCGUCCAGCCACUCAGGGCUCGAGCUGUGCCGGCGCGAGCGGCGAGGAUCUCGGCCUGAGCAGUUGGGGGGUGGUUGUGGGGCGUCCUGGGGGCUUUCGAAGUGCGCUGCCCCGCCAGCCCUUCUAGUGUCUGGAUACCAGUUUUGCUCUAGGUGAUGCGCGCAGAGUCGGGGUAGAAGUUCAGGGCCGGAAAAAUCCCUGCUGUGUGCCUGGGCUGUUUACCCCCGGACCUUGAGCCCUCGAGCCGCUGAGAAUUAUAGUUUUUAAAACGGCGGGCGCCAGCCACAUUGGCGACUUUGGGGGCCGAGAGACUCGCAGGCAAUUUUGCAUACGAUUUUUAAAAGACAACUACCAACAGGCCUUAGGAACUCUUCCACCCACUGGAGACGGCGGCUCCACUGCUGCAUUCUGGCUGCCAGCCUUGCUUUCUGACCUCCAACCAUCCCGUGUUGGCAGUUCCAGCUGCAGCCAGCAUAGCACCAGCACAUGCUACCCCAGACAACAAUCACAAAUAGGUUGUGUUGUACUCAGUGGUCAUAGACGGGAAAGGGGCUUCUCUCGGAUCUGCAAAGGAUGGAGUCAUCUGUGACAGGGAAGCAAAGCUCCUCUGCAUGGAAAAUGACAUUUUUUCAUAUCAAACCUACUGCUUGGGCAUACUUGAUGAUAACACUAGGGACUGGAAUGCUAAAUUCUGUCUUCAGCUUUUACUAUGUGAAACUGUUUUUACACUUACACAAGAUUUCAGAAAUGGCCUUCUAUCAAGCGCAGGUCUUCCAUUUAACUUUCUUCAACAACUUCAUGAUGAUCUUUGCAGAAACUCUCAUCCCCAGCGAUGUUCUUUCUUCUUCCAUGAGAAGCAUCAUGUAUGGGGCAGGCUUUAUUUGCCCACAGUGCCUUGUACUUAUCAUGUGGUCCUGCCUGAAGAAAUGUGGUUACUAUCAGAUUAUCUUAAUUUCUUUCUACCUAGAAGGAGCAGCUUCGGUUGUCAUGUUACUUCUGGGACAGGAAUACUGUUACUAUCUGGCCCUUUAUCUCACUAUUAUCAUGGUGCUUGUGCAAGCUUCUUCCUGUCUGUUUCAUCUACCACUGGUUGAUAUGGUUGAUGAGGAUUUACUCAAGUCUAAUAGACAGUCACCCCUUUAUUCAGUAAUUUUUGGCUUCAAUGCUUUGCUUACCAAACCUGCUCAAUCUUUAGCUCCAAUCGUGAUACUGUCAAGGCUAGCCCAGUACGACUAUGGAAACCCAAACAGCAAUCGUCCUAUGUAAUCAUAUGAAAAUCAAAGUAUUUAUAAUUAAGACCUACCUCUUCCAGUGUACUGUUAGAGCUUAAAGAUUUUAUGUUUCAUUUGAUUUGUCUGGUCCCGCUGGGCAUUGCAGUGAUUCACAUUCUGGUGUGGAGCGCAUUCUCAGCGAGCAACAAGAAAGACAAGAUGGAGACUCUUUAAAGGAAGAACCAGGUGCUAUGGGAUUCAAACUAACUACAGGUGUCUGCCAGUCCUUACAGUUUACACUGCACCCAAAGGCAAAACCCAUCUUCUAAUUUGUUUAGAAAGCACAGCAAAUAAAAUACAAGGUCCAACACAUUUUAGACUUUUUUGAUUCUCUGUAAGUGAAGGGCUCUCCAUGGCUGUUUCCAAGAGGUUGUGUAGCUUGGACACACCAGUAAUUCUUCACUGGGCAACUGCUCUGUCAGUUGCUCUGUAUUUUCUGCAGCUUGCCUGGCUGUGCACACCACUCUGUUACUUUUUAGGACCUUAUACUGCUUUCUCUGACCAGUUUUAUUAGUAAGAUAGCCCUUUUUCUCUCGUUUUGUUAUUAACACUACACCACUGUCAGGUGUAGAUUCCCCCUGACCAAGAGUCAAAUCACCACACUCCUCUCUCUCAUUCAAUGGCUGGACACAGUUCCCUGGUUUGCUUGCCUGCCUUCAUCUCACUGGCUCAGACUGUGUGCCUGAGAGGCCUGGAUCUGGGGAAAGUUAAGGACGGAGCUAGUGACUGCCUUAUCUUCUGGAGUGGUCUACUAACCAUAAAUUCACACUCAAUCCUAAAAGGGGAGCUACAGAUUGUGAAGUCCAGAUUUGUGUACGAUUUAUCCGGUAGGUUUAUCCAGUCAUACCAAUAACUACAAGUGGGAUAAACACUAAGUAAAAGUCAGAAAUUGCUAUUGGGUAAAAAUAUGAUGCAAUUACAUUCUAUGUACAAAAAUGCACUUUAAAGAUUCAAACGUAGUAAAAAUAAAACGAUUAAAGAAGUAUAACAUACACUAUCAGAGGAAAGUUGGAGUGGUUGUAUUGAUAUCAGACAAAGCCAACUUAGAAAAAAUACUGCUGGGGAUAUGAGGGAGAUCACAUGAUAAAUGAGUUUAUUAAUCAAGAAGACGAAAAAAAUUCUAAAUGUGCAUGCACAUCAUGACAGCUCCAAAAUGCAUGAAGCAAACACUGAAAGAAAAUAAAAAAUAAAACAAUCCACAAUUAUAGGUGGAGAUUUCAAACAUUUUCUCUUAGUCUACAGAAGCAGUAGUCAGAAAACCAGUACAGUUAUAGAACAUGUAACAAUACUAUCAAGAAAGUGGAACUAAUUUAUAUUUAUGCAACAUUCUGCCUAACAAUAGUAGAACAUACAAUCUUCUUAAGUAUAAAAGAAACAUUAACCAUUGUAGACUACCUUUUGGGCACUAAAACAAAUGGUAACAAAUGUAAAAGAGUAGGAACCACAUAAAGUAUGUCCCAUCAUGAAAAUGGAAUCAAGUUAGAAACCAAUACCACAUACUUGGGAAAUCCCUCCAUAUUUAAAAGUUAAAAAACACACUUUCAAAUAAUUCAUAGCAAAAGAAGAAGUAAAAAAUAAUAGAAAAUAUUUUGAACAAAAGUGAAAAUAUAAC
rnacentral:lncRNA from 1 species